UUGGUGGGGGGGGUGUGCAUUAGUACAGAUUUGAAGGAAACAUGUAGGUGGGGAGCAUAAUGCUUCCAAUUGAAACGCACUAGCAAGCACAGACUACAGUAGUUUAGAGAUUAAAAAUAGGAUCAUUUGGAUGUGUGGAUUUGAAUAUGAUUUAUGGAUCACUUCCAGAGACAUUAUUGUCGCUUAUCAUUCAGAUGGCUGUGAAAGUGAAGACUAUGUGGGAAAUCAAGCAAGAGAUACAUUGCCUGCAGAAUGGGGAAAAACAUUAAAUCUUGGAGUUGCUGAUGCAGCAAUUAAUAUUGCAACCUUCACUGCCUUCAAUGCACAGAAGAAAAGGUAUUUAUACCGCCAGAUUGGACUUUCAUAUGGAAGCCUGGAGCAAUGCUGGUACAGAUGGCAAGAUGACUCUCAAGAGAUUGAUGACUCUGAAGAAAUACACAGUAUUAAGUCAGAAGGUGCAAAUGUUAACAUUCCAGUGUAGAAGAGAAAUAUUCCUUGCAUACGCUUCCCAGAUUUCAGGGCUCCCAUACAUCUGCUGCCUGUCAAAGGCAGAUACCACAUUCAUAAAACAAGUGCCCUGUCUGGAGAAAGAAAAAAAAAAGGACUCUCUUCCCUCCAGGAUUAUGUGAGAUGGGAGGCUGCAAGAAGUGAAAGUUCUAAUUUGCUGCAGAGAUGAUCAACAAGAAAAUCUUUUAUUACUGUAGAGUGGAAAUUUUACUUUUUUGAAAAAAAUGUUGUGGGCCCAGAUGCAGCAAAACAUUUUAAGAACAAUCCCUACUCAGAAAAGCUCUUAAACAUGCUCUUAUGUGUCUCCAUGUGCCUAAGAACUUACUUUGAUGAAGCAGAAACCUAAAGAAGAACCAUUUCUAUUUACACUAACUAAGCAGCUCAUUUUACCAGGCCCAUUACAUGAUUCCUGACUUUAUUAGGUCUGGAAUGUAUAUUUCACCCAUGGUGAGAAACAUGCUCAUUCAUUUCUUAUGAUAUCAUAGUCUUCUCCAUGGUAAUCUGGUGCUAUGUGAGGAAAAACAAUAGGAGAGAAAACUUUUCAUGCCGAGAUGAAGACGGAUAAGGAAUUAUGUUCAGCCGGGUGGGAGAAUAUAUAAGAGGAACAAAACCACAGAGCCCCUGAUUCUGAGGAUCUGAUUUAUUUAGUAUCUGGCAUUGGCCAUAAAGUGUGGGCAAUGAAAAGAGGAGCUGACCUCAAUGCCUCCUUAGCAGCAAUCAGAAAUUCAUUUCAGUGUGUGAGCAUUUAAUUAGCUUCAGUGAGUUUACAAGACCUUCAGUCAUUUUAAGAUACUCGAGGCAACUACGCCACACAUAAGAUUACCCUGAAUCUGGAAUGCCAGCCACUUAGGAGGAAUGUCUGGAGAGUUUUAAUUGAAGGGGACUCCUUUGUUUUUAUAUCCAUUUGAUGUGCCAUUACCAUUUCCUCCACCACUAAUUUACACCGAGGGACUCAACUACUCCAAACAAUUGUUUUAAUCGGUAAAUCACAGAAAACCUUCAAGAAAGUUUAAGGUUGUUCUGCAUCUAUGAAAAGUCAAAUGGCACCAUUAAAUUUUUAGAGCUAAUCUAAUCGUUACACAGUGCAGCCACUGCACCACUUCAGGCAUCUGGGGAGAGUCAUCACCUUCCCCUUUUUUACAGAAGACCUGAAAUAUAUCUGCUUCAUGCAUUUAUUGCAGCCAUACAAUAAAUAUAUAUAGAGUGGGAUUAACUAACAGGAGGCAAUUACUAAUUUUAUUAUGGCUUCAUGAGGUCUGUAUAUCAAGCUCCUCUCCCUGGCAAGGAUGAGGAAUUGCUAAAUACAGCUAAUUUCUGGGCUGAUCUUAUUUAUAUACUGGAUGCUAAUCCCCUUCACAUAUCUCAUGUGCUUCUUUCUUCUCAGAGAUACUGUCCCUCAGUGACCUCCUCCCAGCAUUUCAUUAAAUGCCUUCAGCCUCAGUAAAUUACAGCACUUUAAAAACAUUGAGUUUAGCAUAUAAAAAGAGAGAGAGAGAGAGAGAGAGAGAGAGAGUUUCUGUACGCUGCCAUGGGAUAAGGUGCAGUGAAAAUCCCAUACAAGCUGAACUGUACUUCCUAAUCAAAUGGGUGUAACAGAUGGCUGCUAGAGCAAGCCAUCACAAUGGAAAUAUCUGCAGUUCUCAUGGUAACGGAAUCUGCCAGGUCUGAGGGAUUUGCUGUUUUCCAGGACAUCUGAGCUGCAAUCUCUUUCGAGCUGUCUAGCAGUCUCAGUCUCGCUCUCUCUCACUCUCUCAGCAUGAUGGAGAUAGAGUUGAAAGGUGGAGCCUGAUUUUGCAUUCCAGCUGUGAUUAAAGACACGCACACACAAACGCACGCGCGCAGAAUCAAUGGCACUGCAUAUUCAUCACGCUAUCUAGAACCUCAUUAACCACUCAGACAGAACAGCGAGGAAAUUUUAAUAUUCCUCCUUCC